GAUGAACGCUGGCUACAGGCUUAACACAUGCAAGUCGAGGGGAAACGCCGGGGAAGCUUGCUUCCCCGGGCGUCGACCGGCGCACGGGUGAGUAACGCGUAUCCAACCUGCCUCUGACUGAGGGAUAACCCGUCGAAAGUCGGCCUAAUACCUCAUGGUAUCGUCUGCGGGCAUCCAACGACGAUUAAAGAUUUCAUCGGUCAGGGAUGGGGAUGCGUCUGAUUAGCUUGUUGGCGGGGUAACGGCCCACCAAGGCUACGAUCAGUAGGGGUUCUGAGAGGAAGGUCCCCCACAUUGGAACUGAGACACGGUCCAAACUCCUACGGGAGGCAGCAGUGAGGAAUAUUGGUCAAUGGGCGAGAGCCUGAACCAGCCAAGUAGCGUGCAGGAAGACGGCCCUAUGGGUUGUAAACUGCUUUUAUGCGGGGAUAAAGUGAGGGACGUGUCCCUCAUUGCAGGUACCGCAUGAAUAAGGACCGGCUAAUUCC
rnacentral:rRNA from 1 species